rnacentral:rRNA from 1 species
GAUGAACGCUGGCGGCGUGCCUAACACAUGCAAGUCGAGCGGCAGCGCGGGGUGCUUGCACCCUGUCGGCGAGCGGCGGACGGCUGAGUAACGCGUGGGAACGUGCCCCAAAGUGAGGAAUAACUGCCCGAAAGGGUAGCUAAUACCGCAUAUUAUCUUCGGAUCAAAGGAUUUAUCCGCUUUGGGAGCGGCUCGCGUCGGAUUAGGUAGUUGGUGAGGUAAUGGCUCACCAAGCCGACGAUCCGUAGCUGGUCUGAGAGGAUGACCAGCCAGACUGGAACUGGGACACGGUCCAGACUCCUACGGGAAGCAGCAGUGAGGAAUCUUCCACAAUGGGCGAAAGCCUGAUGGAGCAACGCCGCGUGCAGGACGAAGGCCUUCGGGUUGUAAACUGCUUUUAUAAGUGAGGAAUAUGACGGUAACUUAUGAAUAAGGAUCGGCUAACUACGUG